AUUCUCUGUAAGUAACCGGCUUCUCCGCUUCUCAUUUCGUGACCGCGUUCUCUCCUUCUCCCUCGUGCUCGUUUCUCUCUCUUUCUCUCGUGCGAUCUCUCUUUACCACUGCAUUCUCUCUGGUUCGAUCUCUCUCUCUCUCUCUGUAACCUAGUUAUCAUCUCUCGCGCUCGCUCUUUCUGCAACUCACUUCCUCUGCUUUCCAAUUCCAUCCAUCACCGGAAUAUUUCACCUGAGGGUGCAGGAUUCUGACUUCUGAGGCAAGGGAAGAUUUUGGUUCGAAUUGGGAUGGAAAGAAUUCUCAGGCGACCAAACUACCUUCUUUUCCGCCACCUCUGUUGCCGCUAUUUUGGAAGACUCCGGUAAGACUCGCUUCUCAGCCUUGAACAGAAUCUUAACCAGCGUUCUGCUGAUUUUUUCGUCUCCAACAAUGGUCUUCUGGUUAUGUGAUUCCACUACUUUUUUCUUGUUCGACCGGUCACAACAAUGCCAAACAAUGUUCAGGUAACGGCUAGUACAACCGACUUGAUGAUAUUGAUCUAUUAGUUAUAUUAUAUCAACUUUAUAUACAACAAAAGUAACAAGAAAAGGAUAACGACUCUAUCAACAACAAUAAAAGGAAAGGGAUGUUAUUGAAGUUGUCCUAGUCUAAUCAUGGAAAGUUGGUUCUUAAAAGGUGAUUUUCCUGCUGCAAGCAUCUUAGAUACUUGUUCCAUGGUUGGACGAGAACGCGGAUUUUGACUCAAGCAAGCAAAUGCCAAACUGGUAAUCAACAUCACCUCCUCAUCAAUUGGUUUCAUAACUUGUUGAGGUCGUUGAUCUAAAAUAUCUAUCAACAACAUAUCAUUUGCCAUUGGCCUUGUAGAUGAUGACAAAAAUAAUGAAAUGAGAUCUCCAGGAUGUUUUCCCAUUAUGAUUUCCAGAGCAAGUACUCCAAAGCUGUAUACAUCACAUUUCUCAUUCACUUCCAUUGUUUGUGCCAACUCUGCAAACAAACAAAUAAACUUUGUCCACUUAUAUAUUUUUUUAAGAAAGGUAAUACCUAUAGUUAGACAAGAAACAAGGUGGAAGAUCGGUAAUGGAGAUAAAAUCUGAGUUUUUCACGACAGGUGGUUUGCAAACGGUAGCCUAGCAUAAGCUGCUGUGCAAUUUGAUCAGAUGAGCGCAUAAUUAGGCCGGACAACCGCGACAUGUACAAUGUCUGAUCAGCAUACAAAUUCUACCUAAUAGACAAAGCAGAUUGAAAUUCGAAGAGGGUUGGAUGUCGAUUUGGAAGCUGGAUGUGCCACCAAAAGUUAAAAAUUUUAUUUGGCGAGUAGCGUGGAAUUGCUUACCAACUCGCGCAAGGCUGAUCGAGAAAGGCGUUGAAGUAGGAGUUACUUGUCCGUGGUGUAACGAUGUGCCAGAAACAGCAGCACAUGUGCUGAUGCAAUGUAAUAAAAGUAACUUAACUUGGAGAAAUCUAAACGUGUCACACUAUAUUGAACAAUCCAUGCAGCAACAUGACAAUAUAGGAUGUAUGAUUUUCUAUUUAUUAAAAACUCGAUCAA